ACACAUGCAAGUCGAACGGAGCUUAGAGGGCUUGCUUUUUAAGCUUAGUGGCGAACGGGUGAGUAACGCGUGAGUAACCUGCCCUGGAGUGGGGGACAACAGUUGGAAACGACUGCUAAUACCGCAUAAGCCCACGGUACCGCAUGGUACUGAGGGAAAAGGAUUUAUUCGCUUUAGGAUGGACUCGCGUCCAAUUAGCUAGUUGGUGAGGUAACGGCCCACCAAGGCGACGAUUGGUAGCCGGACUGAGAGGUUGAACGGCCACAUUGGGACUGAGACACGGCCCAGACUCCUACGGGAGGCAGCAGUGGGGGAUAUUGCACAAUGGGGGAAACCCUGAUGCAGCGACGCCGCGUGGAGGAAGAAGGUUUUCGGAUUGUAAACUCCUGUCGUUAGGGACGAUAAUGACGGUACCUAACAAGAAAGCACCGGCUAACUACGUGCCAGCAGCCGCGGUAAAACGUAGGGUGCAAGCGUUGUCCGGAAUUACUGGGUGUAAAGGGAGCGCAGGCGGGAAGACAAGUUGGAAGUGAAAACCAUGGGCUCAACCCAUGAAUUGCUUUCAAAACUGUUUUUCUUGAGUAGUGCAGAGGUAGAUGGAAUUCCCGGUGUAGCGGUGGAAUGCGUAGAUAUCGGGAGGAACACCAGUGGCGAAGGCGGUCUACUGGGCACCAACUGACGCUGAGGCUCGAAAGCAUGGGUAGCAAACAGGAUUAGAUACCCUGGUAGUCCAUGCCGUAAACGAUGAUUACUAGGUGUUGGGGGAUUGACCCCCUCAGUGCCGCAGUUAACACAAUAAGUAAUCCACCUGGGGAGUACGACCGCA
rnacentral:rRNA from 1 species